GUUUGAAGCUAAUAAAUUUGAUGUUUAGAGGUUUGAUGUUUUGCUGUUAGCAUAUAUCUUAAAUUUCAGUGUAUUGUGUUAUAUCAUCUGAUCUGUUUGUAUCUUCUCACUAAUUAUAAUUUGCUGAGGUUCCAUUUAAUAUGCAUUAGUUUCAACUUUCUACCAGAGUUGAAACAUAGAGGGUUUAGCAGUGUACGGCAGCUGCAAGUUGCAG
rnacentral:misc_RNA from 1 species